AAUUGACGGGGCCCGCACAAGCGGUGGAGUAUGUGGUUUAAUUCGACGCAACGCGCAGAACCUUACCUAGACUUGACAUCCCGGGGAUUUUCUGGAAACAGAGAAGUGCUUUAGCAAUAAAGAACCCGGUGACAGGUGCUGCAUGGCUGUCGUCAGCUCGUGUCGUGAGAUGUUGGGUUAAGUCCCGCAACGAGCGCAACCCUCGCCUUUAGUUGCCAGCAUUCAGUUGGGCACUCUAGAGGGACUGCCGGUGUCAAACCGGAGGAAGGUGGGGAUGACGUCAAGUCCUCAUGGCCUUUAUGUCUAGGGCUACACACGUACUACAAUGGCCGGUACAAAGGGCAGCCACUCAGCGAUGAGGCGCUAAUCCCAUAAAGCCGGUCUCAGUCCGGAUCGCAGUCUGCAACUCGACUGCGUGAAGUUGGAAUCGCUAGUAAUCGUGGAUCAGCAUGCCACGGUGAAUACGUUCCCGGGCCUU
rnacentral:rRNA from 1 species